UACGUAGGGUGCAAGCGUUGUCCGGAAUUAUUGGGCGUAAAGGGCUCGUAGGCGGUUUGUCGCGUCGGGAGUGAAAUCCACUGGCUUAACUGGUGGCUUGCUUUCGAUACGGGCAGACUGGAGGUAUGCAGGGGAGAACGGAAUUCCUGGUGUAGCGGUGAAAUGCGCAGAUAUCAGGAGGAACACCGGUGGCGAAGGCGGGUCUCUGGGCCGUAACUGACGCUGAGGAGCGAAAGCGUGGGGAGCGAACAGG
rnacentral:rRNA from 1 species